GGGCACGUGGGAGGGAGGUUUCCGGAUCGCCGAAGUGCUCCUGUCUCACCUGCGCUGCCCUCACUCGCCCCGUGCCAGCACCUCCCCGCUUGCAAAACCAGCCUCCGCGAAAGCCGCCCAGUGCCUUGCGGGGCACGGAGGGGCAAUCCCAGCGGGGGAAGAGGGAGGAAAGAGGCGCCUGCUCUUUUUCUUCGUAUAUUUGAGGGGUAUGGGCAGACUGUCUUGCCGUGGUACCUCUCAAGAAAAAUCACGCAAAUGAUUUGCCSCUGAAGAAGACCCCGCUGUGAUCGCCAGGGAAGCGCUGCAAGGAGGCAGCCCUCAAGGCCACGGAGAUGGUCCUCUCUCAGCCUGCUGGCCCGUCGCUCCCCAGCUGUCCGCCGCAGGGGCGGAGGCUGUUUGACCACCUCUACAGGGACGCGCCCCAGCCGGGCCCCGCGCGCUUUCGGCAGCUCUCGCACUUCUCUGCAAAGCACCAGCACUGGGAGCAGGACUGUGGCGGCUCCUCCACGCUGCCGGCAGCUGGGGGUGUGCGGGGCUUCGGGGACRGGCAGCGUGCGUGGGGAGCACCGCGUUGUGCGCAGGCAAAGGGCGGACCGAGGGAAGUUGGCAUGUGGGGACUUCGUUCCCAGCCCACAGUUUCCUGGGCGAGAAGUGCACUGCCCAUUUUAACCCCCCUCGGCUUGUCGCCCCUUUCAGUUCGUCUAGACGCUAAGCAGGUGCAGGUGUGCGCAGCAGAGCCAUCCAAGGGGAUCAUGGCCGCUUUCCUCUCCACGCUGCAGCUCCUCUUCCUUGGGACUCUAAUCGUCCCAGCAUAUUUGCAGACGGAAAGAUGCAAUUUGCUCUCAAGUGCGACAGCAGGCAAUUUCUCCGUAUCCGUGGUGCCUGACACGUACGAGGCAAACACAACCUACGCAGUUGAAGUAAGCGACAGCAGAAACCUCACUGACAGCAAAAGUGUGACCGCGGUUUUACUGCAAGCCUUAUCCUCCCAGAACGUUUCCGUGGGAGAGUGGAAGGACACGGACCUUGAAAACUGCAGUAGUAUUACUACAGCAGUAGUAAAUGCCAUGAACGUAACAGUAAAUUGGACAUCCCCAAGCAGUAGCAUCAGUUCCGUGGAAAUAAGGGUAUAUACCCUCUUUUCUGAUAACUCCACCGAGUUCAACAGCGUGACUCUGAGUGAAAAAGCGGUGAACACGACCACAGCAUCAACCAUCACCACCCCCAACUCCAUCUCUGCGGUUCAGAGCGGAGAGGCGAUGACCCGGCUGUGCCGCACCUUUCCUCCUCGCCUUCAGUGCGCGCGGGAGGGCGGGCAGCUGAUCUGCUCAGGAAAACUAUUUUCUUCAUGUAUUAGGAUGAUGACUGCACCUCUACAUUAAAUUACAAAGGUCUGUUUGACGAGAGAGCUGAUCCUUCCCUUAUUCCCCUCGCCCAGGGCCAGCGUAUUUGGUAAGACGAGAAAGCUGAUAGCAAGCCAGAGCUCGCUCUGUUCGGAGCAACUAGAAAAGCACAG
rnacentral:lncRNA from 1 species